rnacentral:lncRNA from 1 species
GCUGUCUUAACGCAGGCAGAGGGGUGUGGCAGAUCUCCAACCGCUCGGGGUCCCGUGAUUUCCAUUAAUGAAUUCGCACACUGGCGUUACCACUCAACACACCGACGACUGCAUUGUACCAUCACUAGAAUCUAGUGCUUAAUGGCAACUCGCCCUUUCCAAAGGGUCUCAACAAGUUCAGCGAGGUGAAAUUCAGCUUUUGCCCUAUCAUCUGAAUUCACAGGACUUCCAUCUAACAUCUAAGCAAGACGAUAGACAACAAUUAGCUAAAUCUACAUUAUUGGACAUGAUGGCUAAGUAAAAAACAUCACACCAGAAUCAAGGAUUUUGGUAUCUGCAUGAGUCCUGGAAUCAAUCCCCCAGAGAUACUGAUGGGAUCUUAACAAUGACAGUAAUUGAUGGUGUGUGAAGAAAAAAGGGAAGAUCAGGAGACUUUAACCUGUGGUAUUCCCAUGUUUAGAAGCAAAAUGGGGAACAAAAAGGAAGCGAAUAACAAUCAGAAAAAUAGGAGGAUAACAAUAGUGUAAUAUCAUGGAUGCCAAAGGAGAGUUUCAAAAAGAAGAAGGCAACCAAUAGUGUCAAAUGUUUCAGACAAUUGUAAAAAUUCAAAAAUAAAAAUAUUUAAAACUUUCAAAAUAAAAUAUCAAAAUAUCAAAAUAAAAUAUCAAAAACUUUCUUGAUGCCAGGCAUUGGUCCAAGAGAUCUUUUUUUGGCAAAUCUUAAUAAAAUAUCUUAUUUAAUCUAAUACGUCCAAAAUACUACCAUGUCAACAUGUACCUAAUAUAAAAAUUAUAGUGUUUUUUUUCCAUACUCAGUCUUUAAAAACUGGUGCUUGUUUUAAACUUUCAGCAUACUCAAUUUGGACUAGCCACAUUUCAAAUGCUUAAUAGUUACAUGUGGGUGGUGGCUACUCUUUUGGACAGAGCAGCACAGAGAGCUGUGGGAGAAUUAAAGGAGGUGGUUCAUCUCUUUUAGGAGAUGCAGAAGAUAAAGUACUCAGCACAGGGCUGGUAGGUGGAAAACACAGAAGUGUUAGCCUCAUCCUUC